rnacentral:rRNA from 1 species
GCCUACGGGGGGCAGCAGUGGGGGAUAUUGCACAAUGGGGGGAACCCUGAUGCAGCGACGCCGCGUGGGUGAAGAAGCGCCUCGGCGCGUAAAGCCCUGUCAGCAGGGAAGAAAAUGACGGUACCUGAAGAAGAAGCCCCGGCUAACUACGUGCCAGCAGCCGCGGUAAUACGUAGGGGGCAAGCGUUAUCCGGAUUUACUGGGUGUAAAGGGGGCGCAGACGGCGAUGCAAGCCAGGAGCGAAAGCCCGGGGCCCAGCCCCGGGACUGAUCUUAGAAGUGCGUGGCUGGAGUGCAGGAGGGGCG